GCCAGGCAUGGUGGUGCAUGCCCGUAGUCCCAGCUACUCAGGAGGCUGAGGCAGGAGGAUGACUUGAGCCCAGGAGGUCAAGGCUGUAGUGAGCUAUAAUUACUCUACUGCACUCUAGCCUGGGUGACAGAGUGAGAUCCUGCCCCUA
rnacentral:SRP_RNA from 1 species